GUUGUAUUGAAGAAAAAAGUUUUUUUCUUUAAGAGCCUAUGCUUAUAUCAUAAGGGGCAGCAAAUUGACCAACUGUCCAUGAUCCUUUCCUAUUUGGGGUACUACUGAGGGCAUUUCUGGCAGAACUCUGAAAGAUGGAAGUGUCCACACAGGUCAGGCAUUCAGAACAUGGCCUUUGGCCAAUACAGCUUAUGGGACCCCAGAAUGUCCUGUGCAGUCUUCAUACCUCCAAUUCCUUUCUCUCUCAGAGGCCACAACUUUCUCAGGAGGCAGCGGGGCCACCCAAGCAGGAUUACCCAGAGGUACCACUGGAGAAUUUUCUGGAACGACCAUUAUAUCUGGAAGUUCUAACACAGGUAGCUUAA
rnacentral:lncRNA from 1 species